CUCAGCCUCCUGAGUUCUGGGAUUACAGGUGUGUGCCACCAUGCCCAGCCACGAGUCACAUCCCACAACGAUGUCUUUCUUGUUCUGUUUGGCCAGGAAUGUGAGGAACAAGAGGCAUAUACUGGUUUCCUGCAAGUGUCAUAACAAGAACCACGAAGUUCCUGAAAUCAGUCUGUCCCUUAUCCUGUGUGUCCAGUCACAGGAAGACUCUGGGCUUGACACUCCUUUGGGGCUUCCUCCAUUUUGCUUCCACUGACUCCAC
rnacentral:lncRNA from 1 species